GGCAUCAAGCCUAACUCCCAGCAGGGAGAAUGUAAGAUGUUUGUGGAUGAGCCCACAGGGACCUCGAGGUUCUGUGGGAGGACAUCUAGUGGUUCCUGGAGCAGCUGCAACAGCCAGGACACAUGGAACUACAGUGGAGCAGUCACCCAGAGACCUUCGCAGAACUGUGGGUCAUGCUAAUCAGAAUGAGGGUCCAGAGGUCACAUCCCAGGUUGGGGAGGCAGAGGACAACCACAUAGGUGACUGGUUUGUCUGCCUAAUCAUCUAGAAAGCUCAUGACUAGAUCACACAGUGACACCUGAGGCUGCACACUUGUGGAGCUGCUGGUUUUCAAGAAGUUAACUCCUCUCAAUGGAAUGAAGUCCCUAAGCUUCCUCUCCCUGUAUUGUCCAGGUGAAGACCCACCCCUGCAGGACAUUGUGGUGUAGGCAAGAGCUGUACAGCAGCCCCAUCUGUGCCAGCCAGCCUUGAAGGUGGCUUGCUAGCAUUCCAGCACCACCAGCCUUUGUCCAUGUCUGGGCAAGGCAGUUCUUGGCCCUCAACCCUUCUGCCUACCAUAUCAGUCUCCUUGGCCUGCACUGGUAGGAGAUGGGAAACCAGCUCUGAGACCAGCCUGAGGCAUGGGGCAGGUCCAAUUCUUUCUGUCCCUGGCUCUCAGCUCCUGGGAUUCUCAGGAGCAAAUGUGUCUGAGAGAAACAAGAGUCAAUGUUAGCCUUGAA
rnacentral:lncRNA from 1 species